UACGUAGGUGGCAAGCGUUGUCCGGAUUUACUGGGCGUAAAGGGCGUGCAGGCGGUUUGUUAAGUGCAGGGUGAAAGCUCCCGGCUCAACUGGGAGAGGUCCUUGCAUACUGGCAAACUCGAGGGAGGCAGAGGAAAGUGGAAUUCCCGGUGUAGUGGUGGAAUGCGUAGAUAUCGGGAGGAACACCAGUGGCGAAGGCGGUUGCCUGGAGCUUUGCUGACGCUGAUGCGCGAAAGCGUGGGUAGCAAACAGG
rnacentral:rRNA from 1 species